UACGUAGGGACCAAGCGUUGUUCGGAUUUACUGGGCGUAAAGGGCGCGUAGGCGGCUUGUCAAGUCACUUGUGAAAUCUCUGGGCUUAAUCCAGAACGGCCAAGUGAAACUGACAUGCUAGAGUGCAGAAGGGGCAAUCGGAAUUCUUGGUGUAGCGGUGAAAUGCGUAGAUAUCAAGAGGAACACCUGAGGUGAAGACGGGUUGCUGGGCUGACACUGACGCUGAGGCGCGAAAGCCAGGGGAGCAAACGGG
rnacentral:rRNA from 1 species